AACGCAACCUGCCGGUGGUUAUGACAUGCAGUCGGGCGAUCCCUUCGGGGAGAGCGGCGACGGGUGAGUAACGCGUGGGGAUCUACCUGUCGGUGGGGGACAACCUCUGGAAACGGAGGCUAAUACCGCAUAUUCCCUUCUGGGCAAAGGCUUCGGCCGCCGACAGAUGAACCCGCGUUAGAUUAGCUUGUUGGUGAGGUAACUGCUCACCAAGGCAUCGAUCUAUAGCUGGUCUGAGAGGAUGAUCAGCCACACUGGGACUGAGACACGGCCCAGACUCCUACGGGAGGCAGCAGUGGGGAAUAUUGGACAAUGGGGUCAACCCUGAUCCAGCCAUGCCGCGUGAGUGAAGAAGGCCUUCGGGUUGUAAAGCUCUUUCAAUCGUGACGAUGAUGACGGUAACGAUAGAAGAAGCCCCGGCUAAUUUCGUGCCAGCAGCCGCGGUAAUACGAAAGGGGCUAGCGUUGUUCGGAAUCACUGGGCGUAAAGGGCACGCAGGCGGUUUUGUCGGUCAGAGGUGAAAGCCCGGGGCUCAACCCCGGAACGGCCUUUGAUACUGCAAGACUAGAGACUAGGAGAGGGUGGUGGAAUUCCCAGUGUAGAGGUGAAAUUCGUAGAUAUUGGGAGGAACACCGGCGGCGAAGGCGGCCACCUGGACUGGAUCUGACGCUCAGGUGCGAAAGCGUGGGGAGCCAACAGGAUUAGAUACCCUGGUAGUCCACGCCGUAAACGAUGAGUGCUAGUUGUCGGGACUUCGGUUUCGGUGACGCAGCUAACGCAUUAAGCACUCCGCCUGGGAAGUACGGUCGCAAGAUUA
rnacentral:rRNA from 1 species